GAGCCGAGCCGAGCCAAGCCGAGCCGAGCUCGGGAGCCGAGGGGCGGCCGCGGGGCCGCCGCCACCAGGGAGGAUCCGCCCCGGCGCUCUCCCAAGAUGCACAGGACCACCCGCAUCAAGAUCACGGAGCUCAACCCCCACCUGAUGUGCGCCCUGUGCGGCGGCUACUUCAUCGACGCCGCCACCAUCGUGGAGUGCCUGCACUCCUUCUGUAGAACCUGCAUUGUCCGCUACCUGGAGACCAACAAGUACUGCCCCAUGUGCGACGCGCAGGUGCACAAAACCCGGCCCCUGCUCAGCGUCAGGUCAG